CAGACGUACACAAGACUUCAUUCUUCACUGGCCUGUUAACUCCUGGAGGAUCCUCUCACAGGUAGAACAGUUCAUGGAGUUUAUCCUGUUUGAGAACAACUUCUUCUAACACUUGAACAUGAAAGUAACUGAUCCUCUUAUAUUCAC
rnacentral:lncRNA from 1 species